UCUGCUAGUCUCCAAGAGGUUAGGUUGUUGUCAUGACGGCUCUUUGUAGCAGCCUUGCGGAGCUAAUGUUUCUCGGCGCCGCGGUUCUUGCCAGUUUCAAGUCGUCCUAUAUCCAUGGGAGAACUACAGCUCACUCGCUACCCCGUCUACACCAUUAUUUGACAAAUCUGUGUGUGUGUGUCGUCACCGUAAUCACGAAAGAGAUUUUGGAUGAGGUCCAUGAGCGAUCGUAAAUAAGACUCUCUCUUCUGUGUGUGUGUGUGUUUCUGCUUAUAACUGACAAACUACUGGACCGACUAUCGCUAAUCCUGACGUGUGCCCUUAAGGCUUCUCGGGGAGUGACAUAAAUAGGUCGGCGUUCGCAUCUUACUCCUAUCUACCCCGAAGGCGCCUAUUUCUUCCCCUGUGCGUUAAACGAGUACACCGGCUAGUUUCCUUCAGUAAAAAAAUCAUUGGAUGGAAAUGCCAAGUACGAAAGGUCGAUAUUUCCAAUGAUUUCCAGCUGUCAUCGAAAGUGAAGCUGGCGAAUUGAUGAGCCGAGAUGGAAUUUCUCAUCACUGGCUGUUUAAAUGUCAUAUCCAGCAGAGUUUUGUGAACAGCAGAGCCUCCAUGCGUGCAGCUAAAGAUAAGGAUUAUCAGCACUGGGAGUGAUGACGCUAUUAUAUUCUGUAUACAACCAUCGUGCUCUCUCGGUCUGGACAGUUUAUCCCACAGUAUCUUGAAAAUAAUAAAGAAAUCAGCACUCUCGUCUAAUGUCCAGAAGAUGCCUCAUUAGUUUAGU